rnacentral:misc_RNA from 1 species
GAUGAAGAACGUAGCGAAAUGCGAUAAGUAAUGUGAAUUGCAGAAUUCAGUGAAUCAUCGAAUCUUUGAACGCACAUUGCGCCCGCCAGUAUUCUGGCGGGCAUGCCUGUUCGAGCGUCAUUACAACCCUCAGGCCCCCGGGCCUGGUGUUGGGGAUCGGCGGAGCCCCCCGUGGGCACACGCCGUCCCCCAAAUACAGUGGCGGUCCCGCCGCAGCUUCCAUCGCGUAGUAGCUAACACCUCGCGACUGGAGAGCGGCGCGGCCACGCCGUAAAACACCCAACUCUUCUGAAGUUGACCUCGAAUCAGGUAGGAAUACCCGCUGAACUUAAGCAUAUCAAUAAGCGGAGA